GAUGAACGCUGGCGGCGUGCCUAAUACAUGCAAGUCGAGCGAACAGACGAGGAGCUUGCUCCUCUGACGUUAGCGGCGGACGGGUGAGUAACACGUGGAUAACCUACCUAUAAGACUGGGAUAACUUCGGGAAACCUGAGCUAAUACCGGAUAAUAUAUUGAACCGCAUGGUUCAAUAGUGAACGACGGUUUUGCUGUCACUUAUAGAUGGAUCCUCGCCGCAUUAGCUAGUUGGUAAGGUAACGGCUUACCAAGGCAACGAUGCGUAGCCGACCUGAGAGGGUGAUCGGCCACACUGGAACUGAGACACGGUCCAGACUCCUACGGGAGGCAGCAGUAGGGAAUCUUCCGCAAUGGGCGAAAGCUUGACGGAGCAACGCCGCGUGAGUGAUGAAGGUCUUCGGAUCGUAAAACUCUGUUAUUAGGGAAGAACAAAUGUGUAAGUAACUAUGCACGUCUUGACGGUACCUAAUCAGAAAGCCACGGCUAACUACGUG
rnacentral:rRNA from 1 species